rnacentral:rRNA from 1 species
UAGGGAAUUUUUCACAAUGAGCGGAAGCUUGAUGGAGCAAUGCCGCGUGAACGAUGAAGGUCUUUAAGAUUGUAAAGUUCUUUUAUUUGGGAAGAAUGACAGCAGGUAAUAGCUAGAGUUUGACUGUACCAUUUUGAAUAAGUGACGACUAACUAUGUGCCAGCAGUCGCGGUAAUACAUAGGUCGCAAGCGUUAUCCGGAUUUAUUGGGCGUAAAGCAAGCGCAGGCGGAUUGAAAAGUCUGGUGUUAAAGGCAGCUGCUUAACAGUUGUAUGCAUUGGAAACUAUUAAUCUAGAGUGUGGUAGGGAGUUUUGGAAUUUCAUGUGGAGCGGUGAAAUGCGUAGAUAUAUGAAGGAACACCAGUGGCGAAGGCGAAAACUUAGGCCAUUACUGACGCUUAGGCUUGAAAGUGUGGGGAGCAAAUAGGAUUAGAUACCCUAGUAGUCCACACCGUAAACGAUAGAUACUAGCUGUCGGGGCGAUCCCCUCGGUAGUGAAGUUAACACAUUAAGUAUCUCGCCUGGGUAGUACAUUCGCAAGAAUG